rnacentral:lncRNA from 1 species
UACCUACUGUAUAUACAGUGCAAGAGCAAUUGCCCUCUCCUACUGAGUUCAGAUUUUAUUCAGUUCAUAUUACUAGUAUAUGUCAUUCCUAAUUUCAUUAAUUGACCUCCUCUCGAAAUCAGAAUGUGAGUUCAUGCCAUCAGUUCCACAAUUCCACCCUUAACUCGAAAAAGUACUGGUAAGCAGUCAGCGACAAUAAAGAUUUGAGAAAUUGCAUUAACGGUCGCCAGACAACCAAUACAAGAAAUGGCAAUUCUUUUGGAUCUUUGCUUGACACGUCAAAACUGUCUACAUCUUAACUUUC